CGGAGUAUUUCAAAGUACUAUAAUUACCUCUUUGAUCUCAUUGUGGAUAUUUCAAUGCUCGGAAUAAUGUUGUGGUCUGUAAAUGUGACCAGAGACUACCCCGUUAGUAUUUGUGCAAGCAUUUUGUAGUGUUGUUUCAAGCUUCUAACAAUUUUAUGUGUACUAAUGUAAACAAAUAUAACACUUCUUCAUGGAGAGACAACAUCCACCAACAUAAAAAAAAGGAACUGGUGAUAUUAUGCCAAAACACUUUUCCUGCCAACACACUGAAUGCCAGUAUCACGGCUGACAAGUAACUAGUCAAAUUCGGUGUCGUUUUCCCCCCUAUUCACUUAAUUAAAGAGUGUGACAAAACAGCAGCAUAUUGAUAUAUUUAAUAAUAAUUAGUAUUAUUAUUGCCAUUUAUAUAGCACCAACAGACUCCGUAGCGCUUUA